GAGCAACACUGUGGCAGAUGGUUGAAAUUGUCUGACACAAUAUGAGCAAGAAGGUCUAACCUAUUCCGGUGUUUCCUCCUCUGUGAGACCAACUGUUAGAUAGACUUAAAGUGU